AAUAGAUACCCGGGUAGUCCACGCCGUAAACGAUGAGUGCUAAGUGUUGGAGGGUUUCCGCCCUUCAGUGCUGCAGCUAACGCAUUAAGCACUCCGCCUGGGGAGUACGGUCGCAAGACUGAAACUCAAAGGAAUUGACGGGGGCCCGCACAAGCGGUGGAGCAUGUGGUUUAAUUCGAAGCAACGCGAAGAACCUUACCAGGUCUUGACAUCUCCUGACCUCCCUAGGGAUAGGGCCUUCCCCUUCGGGGGGACAGGAUGACAGGUGGUGCAUGGUUGUCGUCAGCUCGUGUCGUGAGAUGUUGGGUUAAGUCCCGCAACGAGCGCAACCCUUGUCCUUAGUUGCCAGCAUUUAGUUGGGCACUCUAAGGAGACUGCCGGCUACAAGUCGGAGGAAGGUGGGGAUGACGUCAAAUCAUCAUGCCCCUUAUGACCUGGGCUACACACGUGCUACAAUGGAUGGUACAAAGGGCUGCGAGACCGCGAGGUUUAGCCAAAUCCCAAAAAACCAUUCUCAGUUCGGAUUGCAGG
rnacentral:rRNA from 1 species